UAGCGUAUGUUAAAGUUGUUGCGGCUAAAAAGCUCGUAGUUGGAUUUCUGUUGAGGACGAGUGGUCCACUCUAUGAGUGUGUAUCUACUUUGGCCUCGGCAUCCGCUCUUCUGUUGUACUGUGCUUGACUGCAUGGUUCAGUGGUAGGGCCUUUUACUUUGAGGAAAUUAGAGUGUUCACGGCAGGCAAUCGCCUUGAAUAUAUUAGCAUGGAAUAAUAACAUAGGAUCUUGGUUCUAUUUUGUUGGUUUCUAGGGCUAGGAUAAUGAUUAAUAGGGACAAUUGGGGGCAUUCGUAUUGCGGUGUC
rnacentral:rRNA from 1 species